GACGGAGGGCGUGGGUGAUAUUCGUUUUGAUUGGGUGUAAAGGGUACGUAGGUGGCUUACUGUUUUUUGGCAAAAAUCGCGGAGUGUUCCUACGCGAUUGCCUUUUAAAAUGUAAGCUUGAGUUGACGAUAGGUAGGGACAAGUUCUCUUGUAGGGGUAAAAUCCAACGAUAUGAGAACGAACGUCAGCAGGCGAAGGCGCCCCUCCGGUUUCAACUGACACUAAGGUACGGAAGCUUAGGGAGCAAACGGG
rnacentral:rRNA from 1 species